AGAUUGAACGCUGGCGGCAUGCCUAACACAUGCAAGUCGAACGGUAACAGGCCGCAAGGUGCUGACGAGUGGCGAACGGGUGAGUAAUGUAUCGGAACGUGCCCAGUCGUGGGGGAUAACGCAGCGAAAGCUGCGCUAAUACCGCAUACGAUCUAUGGAUGAAAGCGGGGGACCGUAAGGCCUCGCGCGAUUGGAGCGGCCGAUAUCAGAUUAGGUAGUUGGUGGGGUAAAGGCUCACCAAGCCAACGAUCUGUAGCUGGUCUGAGAGGACGACCAGCCACACUGGGACUGAGACACGGCCAGACUCCGUACGGGAGGCAGCAGUGGGAAUUUGGACAAGUGGGCGCAAGCCUGAUCCAGCAAUGCCGCGUGACAGGAAGAAGGCCGUUCGGUUGUAACUGUACGUUUCGGUAACGGAACGUAACGGUACCUUAGGUUAAC
rnacentral:rRNA from 1 species